GAUGAACGCUGGCGGCGUGCCUAAUACAUGCAAGUCGAGCGAACGGACGAGAAGCUUGCUUCUCUGAUGUUAGCGGCGGACGGGUGAGUAACACGUGGAUAACCUACCUAUAAGACUGGGAUAACUUCGGGAAACCGGAGCUAAUACCGGAUAAUAUUUUGAACCGCAUGGUUCGAAAGUGAAAGACGGUCUUGCUGUCACUUAUAGAUGGAUCCGCGCUGCAUUAGCUAGUUGGUAAGGUAACGGCUUACCAAGGCAACGAUGCAUAGCCAACCUGAGAGGGUGAUCGGCCACACUGGAACUGAGACACGGUCCAGACUCCUACGGGAGGCAGCAGUAGGGAAUCUUCCGCAAUGGGCGAAAGCCUGACGGAGCAACGCCGCGUGAGUGAUGAAGGUCUUCGGAUCGUAAAACUCUGUUAUUAGGGAAGAACAUAUGUGUAAGUAACUGUGCACAUCUUGACGGUACCUAAUCAGAAAGCCACGGCUAACUACGUG
rnacentral:rRNA from 1 species